rnacentral:rRNA from 1 species
GACGAACGCUGGCGGCGUGCUUAACACAUGCGAGUCGAACGGAAAGGCCCUGCUUUUGUGGGGUGCUCGAGUGGCGAACGGGUGAGUAACACGUGAGUAACCUGCCCUUGACUUUGGGAUAACUUCAGGAAACUGGGGCUAAUACCGGAUAGGAGCUCCUGCUGCAUGGUGGGGGUUGGAAAGUUUCGGCGGUUGGGGAUGGACUCGCGGCUUAUCAGCUUGUUGGUGGGGUAGUGGCUUACCAAGGCUUUGACGGGUAGCCGGCCUGGGAGGGUGACCGGCCACAUAGGGCCUGCGAUACGGCCCAGACUCCUACGGGAGGCAGCAGUGGGGAAUAUUGCACAAUGGGCGGAAGCCUGAUGCAGCAACGCCGCGUGCGGGAUGACGGCCUUCGGGUUGUAAACCGCUUUCGCCUGUGACGAAGCGUGAGUGACGGUAAUGGGUAAAGAAGCACCGGCUAACUACGUG